rnacentral:rRNA from 1 species
GAUGAACGCUGGCGGCGUGCCUAAUACAUGCAAGUCGAGCGAACAGACGAGGAGCUUGCUCCUCUGACGUUAGCGGCGGACGGGUGAGUAACACGUGGAUAACCUACCUAUAAGACUGGGAUAACUUCGGGAAACCGGAGCUAAUACCGGAUAAUAUAUUGAACCGCAUGGUUCAAUAGUGAAAGACGGUUUUGCUGUCACUUAUAGAUGGAUCCGCGCCGCAUUAGCUAGUUGGUAAGGUAACGGCUUACCAAGGCAACGAUGCGUAGCCGACCUGAGAGGGUGAUCGGCCACACUGGAACUGAGACACGGUCCAGACUCCGACGGGAGGCAGCAGUAGGGAAUCUUCCGCAAUGGGCGAAAGCUUGACGGAGCAACGCCGCGUGAGUGAUGAAGGGCUUCGGAUCGUAAAACGCUGUUAUUAGGGAAGAACAAAUGUGUAAGUAACUAUGCACGUCUGGACGGUACCUAAUCAGAAAGCCACGGCUAACUACGU